rnacentral:tRNA from 1 species
GUGUCUGUAGGCUAGUUGGUUAAGGCAGCACUCUAGUAUGUGUCUCAGCAUUGCUGAGAUCAUGGGUUCAAGUCCCACAGACACA